rnacentral:ncRNA from 1 species
AAAAUCUAUGUCAAAAUUUAUACGAAUAAAUAAAUUUUUUAUGGUUUAAAAAAUUUAUUUUAAAUUUGUUUUACAUAUAAAUUUUAGUGUUAAUUAUUAAUUAUUUAAAUAAUAUUUAAUUUUUACGUAGUAAUUAGUUUUAAAAAUUUAAGUAAUUAAGAUUUAGCAAUAUUAAAAUUGUUAAUAACUAAUUUUGUGCCAGCAGUUGCGGUUAUACAAAAAUUGAUUUGAAUUUUUUUAGUAAUUAAUAAUUAAUUAUUUUAUAAUAAUUUAAAAUUUAAAUUAUAUGGUGAAAUUUUAAUUUAAUAAAAAAUUAUUUUAUAUUUAUGAAUUAAUAAAUUUUAUGAAAAACUAGGAUUAGAUACCCUAUUAUGAAAAAUUUAAAUUAAUUAAUACUUAAAUAGUAAAUAAUUAUUUAUUGAAACUUAAAUAAUUUGGCGGUAUUUUAGUUUAUUUAGAGGAAUCUGUUUAAUAAUUGAUAAUCCACGAAUAAAUUUACUUAAUUUAAUAUUUUAUAUAUCGUUGUUAAAAAAAUAUUUUUUAAUAAAAAUAAUAUUUUAAAAUUUUUAUUAAAAAUGAAAUCAGAUCAAGAUGUAGAUUAUAAUUAAGAAUAUAAUGGAUUACAAUAAAUUUAUUUAAAUGGAAUUUAAUAUGGAAUAAUUAAUUGAAAUUGGAUUUAAAUGUAAUUUUAUUUAAAUUAAUGAAAUGAUUUAAUAUUAAAAUAUGUACAUAUUGCCCGUCGCUUUCAUUUAUAAAUUGAAAUAAGUCGUAACAAAGUAGGGGUACUGGAAAGUGUUUCUAGAAAGAU